CACGGGGGGAGCAAGCGUUGUUCGGAAUCACUGGGCGUAAAGGGCGUGUAGGCGGAUAGGUAAGUGGGACGUGAAAUCCCCUCGGCUUAACCGGGGAACUGCGUCUGAUACUGGAUGGCUUGAGUUUGGGAGAGGGAUGCGGAAUUCCAGGUGUAGCGGUGAAAUGCGUAGAUAUCUGGAGGAACACCGGUGGCGAAGGCGGCAUCCUGGACCAACACUGACACUGAUGAGCGAAAGCCAGGGGAGCAAACGGGG
rnacentral:rRNA from 1 species